CAGGCCUAACACAUGCAAGUCGAGGGGCAUCAUGAAGUUUGCUUGCAAACUUUGAUGGCGACCGGCGCACGGGUGAGUAACGCGUAUCCAACCUUCCCUAUAGUAGAGGAUAGCCCGGCGAAAGUCGGAUUAAUACUCUAUGUUUUCCGUUGCAGACAUCUAAGAUGGAACAAAGGCUUGCCGCUAUAGGAUGGGGAUGCGUCUGAUUAGGUAGUCGGCGGGGUAACGGCCCACCGAGCCAUCGAUCAGUAGGGGUUCUGAGAGGAAGGUCCCCCACAUUGGAACUGAGACACGGUCCAAACUCCUACGGGAGGCAGCAGUGAGGAAUAUUGGUCAAUGGGCGCGAGCCUGAACCAGCCAAGUAGCGUGCAGGAUGACGGCCCUAUGGGUUGUAAACUGCUUUUAUGCGGGGAUAAAGUUCACUACGUGUAGUGUUUUGUAGGUACCGCAUGAAUAAGGACCGGCUAAUUCCGUGCCAGCAGCCGCGGUAAUACGGAAGGUCCGGGCGUUAUCCGGAUUUAUUGGGUUUAAAGGGAGCGCAGGCCGGAGGUCAAGCGUGACGUGAAAUGUAGCCGCUCAACGGCUGAACUGCGUCGCGAACUGGCUUUCUUGAGUGAGUUCGAUGUGGGCGGAAUUCGUGGUGUAGCGGUGAAAUGCUUAGAUAUCACGAAGAACUCCGAUUGCGAAGGCAGCCCACAAGGCCUUUACUGACGCUAAAGCUCGAAGGUGCGGGUAUCGAACAGGAUUAGAUACCCUGGUAGUCCGCACGGUAAACGAUGGAUGCCCGCUGUUUGCGAUAUACUGUGAGCGGCCAAGAGAAAUCGUUAAGCAUCCCACCUGGGGAGUACGCCGGCAACGGUGAAACUCAAAGGAAUUGACGGGGGCCCGCACAAGCGGAGGAACAUGUGGUUUAAUUCGAUGAUACGCGAGGAACCUUACCCGGGCUUGAACUGCAGGAGAAGGAUACAGAGAUGUUGACGCCCUUCGGGGCUCCUGUGGAGGCGCUGCAUGGUUGUCGUCAGCUCGUGCCGUGAGGUGUCGGCUUAAGUGCCAUAACGAGCGCAACCCUUUUCUUCAGUAGCCAGCAGUUCGGCUGGGCACUCUAGGGAGACUGCCAGGGUGAACCUGGAGGAAGGUGGGGAUGACGUCAAAUCAUCAUGCCCCUUAUGACUUGGGCUACACACGUGCUACAAUGGCGUAAACAAAGAGAAGCGAACUUGUGAGAGUGAGCAAAUCUCAAAAAUAACGUCUCAGUUCGGAUUGUAGUCUGCAACUCGACUACAUGAAGCUGGAAUCGCUAGWAAWCGCAGAUCAGAAUGCUGCGGUGAAUACGUUCCCGG
rnacentral:rRNA from 1 species